rnacentral:lncRNA from 1 species
UCCCUUUGUUUUCAUUUCUUUUGUUUCUUCUAUUUUGUGAAACUUAUUUUUUUAUGUAACACAAUUUCUCUUUGCUGCAAUUUAAGUUUGAUUCUCUGAUAAUUGCAGUCCCCCCUCUCUUAUGAGUUUUACCAAAAUUUUAAUUUUGGAAGAGUCUCGCUACUGCUACCUCGACUAAACCUAUAAAUUAGCUGUUAGAUACCAAAUGUUAGAACAUUGGAGAUUGCACUUAUAAAAAACAUAGAAGCUUUUGAAUUAAACUAUGAUGAAAAGUCAGAUCUUAAUAGUCACUUUGAGUUCAAAUUGCAAACAUGGAUUUUAGUGAGAACAUACGUGAUUGCGUGUGUAUAAAUAUCUAACGAUUUUAUUAUUUAUUUUUGUAUGAUAUGUUUUCAUUGCUUUUAUUGUUUGUUAGCAUACUUUGUGAAAGAAAUCCUUAUGAAGUACGUUUUUCUUCAAUCUCGGUGGAAGUGCGUCAUGUCCAACUAUGUGCAUGGCAUUGUAGGCUUUGAAAUCGAAAAAAGCUUUAGAUCCUUAUUUUUAUUUUCAUUGCCCUUUAUUAGCAUGCUCAUUGAGCUCCAAGUCUUUUGGGGUUCUGUAGUGCUGUUAGAUGGUAUGAGUGAGAGUUUGAAGAUUCAGUGACAUACUAUGAGGAGCAAUCAUACAUUAUACUUUUUUAUAUUUUGUGGAAAAUCAUACGGUAGGUAUUUGUUCCAAGGUAAGCAAGUUGACAAAUCUGAUGUAGCAAAGAACCAAAGACGAAAUGAAAAACUCACAAGAAAAUUGGUGAAUCCAUCAUAGCAUUUAUUGUAUAUCCUAAAUUUCCUUUACCUUAGUAUACUGAGAAUACACAAGGAAUUGGUGAGAAUAAAGAACUUAUAUGUAGUGAUGCAGUAGCAUUUAUAGCAAUCCUUAAGCUCCUUCAGCGGAUUAUACUGAGAAUACCCACGAAAUUGGUGAGCAUAGUAGAAGUUUGCAAUGGACUAAGUUGUUAGAUUAUUAUUAGGAGUUUUUUCCCUUAUUAAUUAGGUAACUUGAUUUAUAGUAGAAUUAUGGUUUCGUCUAGUCGAUAUAAACUAAUGUAAUUUCAUGCUUUUCUAGAGUUGACUGUAUUACUCCCUCAGCCUUAGAAGCAUGUGUGUAAGUGCAAGUUUUUUCCCCCUCCAAAUGAUGGCUUUUUAAUACACAAGUCAAAUUAAAAUGUACUUUAAAUCUAGAAAAAGGAGAGGAGAAAACUCUGAACAAAACAGUGUAUUCAUGUAUCAAGAACCGUAAUGCAGUGAUUCAUCUUUUGACAUAGAAAGAUGAAUGAUCUCAAGCCUAGAUUCGUAUUUUAGACGUUUAAAUUAUAGUAGUAGAUUUUUAGUUAGGAGAAUUUUUUUUUUAAAUUAGGAUUUUUAUUAUAGUAAUAAAUUUUAAUUAGGAGAUUGAUUUUAAUUGGCAAAACUAAUGAUUAUCCCACUAUAGUGGACACUUUUUACUUAAUACAUCAUUGAACUUUUAAUUUUUGCAAUUACCACAUUAAACUAACUAAAAAAGUAAAAUCGAACCAUUUCGUUAAAUUGUCCAAACCUGUCAAACUAUUUCAAGUUUUUUUCCUACAUGGCUGAUAAAAAAAUAGAAAUAGAAAAAGAAAAUAAAAUAAUGACCUGUUCUGCGCCUACAUAGUAUUUUUUUUUUGGUGAAGCACCUACGUAGAGAGCUUCGAAUGUCAUGAAUUAACAACAUUAGAGAACUCGCCACCAGAGAUGGCGAAACCCAACCAGUAGCAUUAGAGAACUUGUCGCGGGCGAUGGCAAACCCCCCUGAACGUUCCCAUCCGACUCAUCAUUUUUUUUAUCGCCGAUCAUCUCUUAGUAACGAAGAAUGCGACGUUAGGAUUUAGGGUUUCUAAAUCCACCAAUUGUUUCUUCAACAAUCUGUCGGUGCCCCCCCCUACCCAAUCCAACCGCCACAGACGACUGCGGUUCAAGGAAUUGGGAUAGAAACUAGUGUUUACUACCGCCGGAGGUGAAGUUUAUUGGGGCCGAUGAGGAUUUUUUACGUGAAGAUGAAGAAUCUUGAUUUGCUGUUCAACAACAAGAUUAUAGUUCAUGGACUUGCAGGGCAGUUUAGACAUUCUAUUUUUUUCACCAGCCACGUAUGAAAUUUCUAGAGCAAAUGUAAUGAGCGUUUAAUUAUUUUAAUAGAAUCGUCUAAUUUCAAUUUCUAAUUAAUUCAAUGUGGUAAUUGCAUUUUUUUUAAAAUUUAGUGUUGUAAUAAGUAAAAUAUGCCAACUGCUGUGGGGAAAUCAUUAGUUUUGCCGAUUUUAAUUAUAAAUUAGAAUUUAAUUAGGAGAUUGAUUUUAGUUAUAAAUAGUUUGAUACUCCGUGCGAGGCACGUGCUAGUUUAUAUCGUUCUUUUCAUAAAUAUUUGAUAAUUUUUUAUUGAUAUGUAUUUAUCAUUUUUUAUUGACAUAAUACAUAUAUAAUGUUGAAGAUAAUUUGAAUCAGCAUAUAACUUUUAGUAUUUCAAGAAGAAAUGUAACGCCCCCAAAUCCAGGUCUGCCCGGAUUCGUCCUUCAAAUAACCUGACUGAUAAUUCAAUUCUCGUGAACAGAUGACCAACUUUCUUUUUCUUCCAUUUUCUUCCAGAAUGAACGGGCAGUGUCUUGACAUUUUUUUUCAAAUACCCCAUCCAUGCUUAUAUGUGAAUCUUUUAUCAGUAUCUCGUUGACUAUUUUCUAUCUCAAUAAAUCUUUCCUGCAAUUGGCCCACGUCAUUAUCCAUGAAGACCAAAAAUAUUAAUUUAGCAUUUAUUCAUUUUUAAUUAUUUUAUUCUUAGUUAAUAAUUACCUGAAUUCUUCAUUUCUGCAAUUGACUAUUUUCGUGAUCUACCUUGUCAAAUUAUAUAUAUAUAUAUAUAUAUAUAUAUAUAUACAUAUAUAUAUAUAUUGGGUUUUACCACUUUUAUCUACUGUUCAUGACGGAUUACUAUUCAUGCCGGAGUACUAUUCAUGACAGAAGUUAAUUUUUCUUGUCCAAAUUUGCCCAAAUCAUUAAUAUUAAUCAUAUUGAUUUUAACAUUAAACAUUUAUUUAUUUAACUUUUCUCCCUUAUUUUGUAAUUUCAAAUGCUCAAAUUAGGAUUCCUAGUUCUUAUAUUCUAGGAUUUUCUUUCCCGUUUUCGCUAAAAGUUUAUGUUCUUAUGCAUGAUUUUUGCUGCAUUAACACAUCAUAUAUUAUUUUACUAUGUUGUGAGGAAUGUAUCAACAUCAUAUAAAAUAUAUAAAAAAGAAUACUUAAAACAUACCUUCUAAUUUUGUUUUUCUACGUUUUUCCCAUUUUUUCUUGUUCUGCUAAUGUUCAGCUGUGGCCUCCUCUUCAUUUUUCUUUCUCACGCCUCUUCUCCCACUCUUAUUUCUGACUUCCCUCUUUUUCCUUCUUUUAGGAAUAUAUAUAUAUAUAUAUAUAUAUAUAUAUAUAUAUAUAUAUAUAUAUAUCUUUACUAGGAGAAUAAGUAGGGAGAAGGGUACGUGUAUAUCUAUAUAUAUAUAUAAUUUAUAUAUAAAUCACUUACCUAGCAUUCAUUUAAUAAGUAGGGAAUGCAGGUGACUCUAUGUAACUCCGUUAGAAGAAGAAUAGGUAGAUGAUACCUAUUUCCCAUGUGAACCUUCAACUAAAAU